rnacentral:rRNA from 1 species
GAUGAACGCUGGCGGCGUGCCUAAUACAUGCAAGUCGAGCGAACAGACGAGGAGCUUGCUCCUCUGACGUUAGCGGCGGACGGGUGAGUAACACGUGGAUAACCUACCUAUAAGACUGGGAUAACUUCGGGAAACCGGAGCUAAUACCGGAUAACAUGUUGAACCGCAUGGUUCAACAGUGAAAGACGGUCUUGCUGUCACUUAUAGAUGGAUCCGCGCCGCAUUAGCUAGUUGGUAAGGUAACGGCUUACCAAGGCAACGAUGCGUAGCCGACCUGAGAGGGUGAUCGGCCACACAGGAACUGAGACACGGUCCAGACUCCUACGGGAGGCAGCAGUAGGGAAUCUUCCGCAAUGGGCGAAAUCCUGACGGAGCAACGCCGCGUGAGUGAAGAAGGUCUUCGGAUCGUAAAACUCUGUUAUUAGGGAAGAACAAAUGUGUAAGUAACUAUGCACGUCUUGGCGGUACCUAAUCAGAAAGCCACGGCUAACUACGUG